CAGAUGUGGGUCUCCAUCCCAGGACCCUGGGAUCAUGACCUGAGCCGAAGGUAGUUGCCCAACCAACCAAGCCACCCAGGCGCCCUAAAACUUACAGGUCUUAUAAACUUGACCCACACUGUAUGACAACAGUACUGCUGAGUGACAAAAUGGAGCAUCACAUUGAGAGCACCGUGGACCAGCCCAGACAUGCCUAAUAGGGCAGGUCAAAAACAGUGUAAGUUACUCUGCUUCUUCCAGAUUAAUUUGGAACAGAAGAGAACAUGAAAGGAGGUGUAAUAGUUGUUUGUUCAAGCUUUUAACUACAAUGUAAAAGGACCAGUGGUUUUACUAUUAUUUUUCCAUUUGGCUUCCUGGCACCUUGAAUUCAAUCAGUGUCCUGCUGUUCAGAGGUAUUUUGAAGUGUGCCAAGUCUUAAUUGAAGUGGAAGUGCCUGAAACCGAGUUAAUACCAUGAGCAACAGGGAGUCGAAUUUAUGGAGAGCCUACAGUCUCCAAUGAUGAGGCGCUCCUCCAAAUCUUGUGACCAUGACGAGAAUUGUCAUCUUUUUUCCCCUCUGGGUCCGCCAGCCUCUGGCUGAGUCCUUAGGGACAGAGCUCCCUCUGCUGGCUCGGGAGCUGAAGCCUUCUGGAUCUUGAACAAAAGCCCUUCUUGCGGUGACAUCAACUUCAAAUAAUUGUCCUCAUAAUCAUCUAGAAAAACCCAUUUAUGACUGGGAGAGAGAGCACGUCAGUGCCUGA